AGGCUCAGCUGUGGCGGCGUGCGGGGUGCAGCAGGCAGGAGUGCACAUCGCAAGUAUACCAUAAUUGAAGAAAAAUGAUGGAAGAGAGUGGAAUAGAGACAACACCACCUGGGACUCCUCCACCAAAUCCUGCAGGGCUGGCUGCUACUGCUAUGUCUUCUACCCCUGUUCCAUUAGGUACAUGUAGUUGUCUAACAUCUCGUGUGUUUUGAGAAUAGUGAAGAUACUAUCAUCUUUUCUCAGAGUCAAUUAAGAAAAGAAUGCAUAUAUUAAAACUUCUCUAUUAUUUUUCAGGAUGAAAGGAAAUAGCCUUUUUAAUUUAAAGAAUAGAAAGAAAGUCUUGUGUAUUUAAAGUAAGAAAACAUCAGUGUUUUGCUUUAGGUGGACUUUUGUUCUUUAUGUUCAUAAUUUUACCAUCAUUUAUAUUAUGGCAGAAAUAUCCUAAAAAGCAUGUGUUAGCUUUGUCUUCUGUUCUUUUUCUUUUUUUUGAGACGGAGUUUCACUUGUCACCCAGGCUGGAGUGCAGUGGUGCGAUCUCAUCUCACUGCAACCUCCGCCUCCCAGGUUCAAGUGAUUCUCCUGCCUCAGCCUCCCAAGUAGCUGCAAUUACAGCACUCACCACCAUGCUCAGCUAAUUUUUGUAUUUUUAGUAGAAAUGGGAUUUCACAAUUUUGGCCAGGCUGGUCUCAAACUCCUGACCUCA
rnacentral:lncRNA from 10 species